UAGGGAAUAUUGGACAAUGGGGGCAACCCUGAUCCAGCCAUGCCGCGUAAGUGAAGAAGGCCCUCGGGUUGUAAAGCUCUUUUGUCCGGAAAGAAAAGCUUCGGGUUAAUACCCCGGGGUUCUGACGGUACCGGAAGAAUAAGCACCGGCUAACUUCGUGCCAGCAGCCGCGGUAAUACGAAGGGUGCAAGCGUUACUCGGAAUUACUGGGCGUAAAGCGUGCGUAGGUGGUUGUUUAAGUCUGAUGUGAAAGCCCUGGGCUCAACCUGGGAAUGGCAUUGGAAACUGGGCAGCUAGAGUGCGGUAGAGGGUAGUGGAAUUCCCGGUGUAGCAGUGAAAUGCGUAGAGAUCGGGAGGAACAUCUGUGGCGAAGGCGACUGCCUGGACCAGCACUGACACUGAGUCACGAAAGCGUGGGGAGCAAACA
rnacentral:rRNA from 1 species